GUGGGGAAUCUUGCGCAAUGGGCGAAAGCCUGACGCAGCCAUGCCGCGUGGAUGAUGAAGGUCUUAGGAUUGUAAAAUCCUUUCACCGGUGAAGAUAAUGACUGUAGCCGGAGAAGAAGCCCCGGCUAACUUCGUGCCAGCAGCCGCGGUAAUACGAAGGGGGCUAGCGUUGCUCGGAUUUACUGGGCGUAAAGGGCGCGUAGGCGGACAUUUAAGUCAGGGGUGAAAUCCCUGGGCUCAACCUCGGAACUGCCUUUGAUACUGGGUGUCUUGAGUAUGAGAGAGGUGUGUGGAACUCCGAGUGUAGAGGUGAAAUUCGUAGAUAUUCGGAAGAACACCAGUGGCGAAGGCGACACACUGGCUCAUUACUGACGCUGAGGCGCGAAAGCGUGGGGAGCAAACAGGAUUAGAUACCCCUGUAGUCC
rnacentral:rRNA from 1 species